AGAGUUUGAUCAUGGCUCAGGACGAACGCUGGCGGCGUGCCUAAUACAUGCAAGUCGAGCGGAGUCUUACACUUUCUUCGGAAAGUGUUGGGCUUAGCGGCGGACGGGUGAGUAACACGUAGGCAACCUGCCCGUAAGACCGGGACAACUACCGGAAACGGUAGCUAAGACCGGAUAGGCAAGAAGAACGCAUGUUCUUCUUGAGAAAGACGGAGCAAUCUGUCACUUACGGAUGGGCCUGCGGCGCAUUAGCUAGUAGGUGAGGUAAUGGCCCACCUAGGCGACGAUGCGUAGCCGACCUGAGAGGGUGAUCGGCCACACUGGGACUGAGACACGGCCCAGACUCCUACGGGAGGCAGCAGUAGGGAAUCUUCGGCAAUGGACGGAAGUCUGACCGAGCAACGCCGCGUGAGUGAAGAAGGCCUUCGGGUCGUAAAACUCUGUUGCCAGAGAAGAACGCUUAGGAGAGUAACUGCUCUUAAGGUGACGGUAUCUGAGAAGAAAGCCCCGGCUAACUACGUGCCAGCAGCCGCGGUAAUACGUAGGGGGCAAGCGUUGUCCGGAAUUAUUGGGCGUAAAGCGCGCGCAGGCGGUUGAUUAAGUCUGGUGUAUAACCUUGGGGCUCAACCUCAAGUGGCACUGGAAACUGGUGAACUGGAGUGUAGGAGAGGAAAGUGGAAUUCCACGUGUAGCGGUGAAAUGCGUAGAGAUGUGGAGGAACACCAGUGGCGAAGGCGACUUUCUGGCCUAUAACUGACGCUGAGGCGCGAAAGCGUGGGGAGCAAACAGGAUUAGAUACCCUAGUAGUCC
rnacentral:rRNA from 1 species